rnacentral:rRNA from 1 species
CUUCGGGGUACACGAGCGGCGAACGGGUGAGUAACACGUGAGCAACCUGCCCCUGACUCUGGGAUAAGCGGUGGAAACGCCGUCUAAUACCGGAUACGACACACCGCCUCAUGGCGUGUGUGUGGAAAGUUUUAUCGGUCAGGGAUGGGCUCGCGGCCUAUCAGCUAGUUGGUGGGGUAAAGGCCUACCAAGGCGAUUACGGGUAGCCGGCCUGAGAGGGCGACCGGCCACACUGGGACUGAGACACGGCCCAGACUCCUGCGGGAGGCAGCAGUGGGGAAUAUUGCACAAUGGGCGAAAGCCUGAUGCAGCGACGCCGCGUGGGGGAUGACGGCCUUCGGGUUGUAAACCUCUUUUACCACCAACGCAGGCUCCACGUACUCGUGGGGUUGACGGUAGGUGGGGAAUAAGGACCGGCUAACUACGUGCCAGCAGCCGCGGUAAUACGUAGGGUCCGAGCGUUGUCCGGAAUUAUUGGGCGUAAAGAGCUCGUAGGCGGCGUGUCACGUCUGCUGUGAAAGACCGGGGCUUAACUCCGGUUCUGCAGUGGAUACGGGCAUGCUAGAGGUAGGUAGGGGAGACUGGAAUUCCUGGUGUAGCGGUGAAAUGCGCAGAUAUCAGGAGGAACACCGGUGGCGAAGGCGGGUCUCUGGGCCUUACCUGACGCUGAGGAGCGAAAG